rnacentral:rRNA from 1 species
AUUGAACGCUGGCGGCAUGCUUUACACAUGCAAGUCGAACGGCAGCGCGGGCUUCGGCCUGGCGGCGAGUGGCGAACGGGUGAGUAAUGCAUCGGAACGUGCCCAGUAGUGGGGGAUAGCCCGGCGAAAGCCGGAUUAAUACCGCAUACGACCUGAGGGUGAAAGCGGGGGACCGAAAGGCCUCGCGCUAUUGGAGCGGCCGAUGUCGGAUUAGCUAGUUGGUGGGGUAAAGGCUUACCAAGGCGACGAUCCGUAGCUGGUCUGAGAGGACGACCAGCCACACUGGGACUGAGACACGGCCCAGACUCCUACGGGAGGCAGCAGUGGGGUAUUUUGGACAAUGGGGGCAACCCUGAUCCAGCCAUGCCGCGUGCGGGAAGAAGGCCUUCGGGUUGUAAACCGCUUUUGUUCGGGAAGAAAUCCUCUGGGCUAAUACCCCGGGGGGAUGACGGUACCGGAAGAAUAAGCACCGGCUAACUACGUG